rnacentral:rRNA from 1 species
AAUAUUGGUCAAUGGGCGGGAGCCUGAACCAGCCAUGCCGCGUGCGGGAUGAAGGCCCUAUGGGUCGUAAACCGCUUUUAUACGGGAACAACCGCAGUUACGUGUAGCUGUCUGAGUGUACUGUAAGAAUAAGGAUCGGCUAACUCCGUGCCAGCAGCCGCGGUAAUACGGAGGAUCCAAGCGUUAUCCGGAAUCAUUGGGUUUAAAGGGUCCGUAGGCGGCCUUAUAAGUCAGCGGUGAAAGUUUUUGGCUUAACCAAAAAAUUGCCGUUGAUACUGUAGGGCUUGAAUUUUUGUGAAGUAACUAGAAUAUGUAGUGUAGCGGUGAAAUGCUUAGAUAUUACAUGGAAUACCAAUUGCGAAGGCAGGUUACUAACAAACGAUUGACGCUGAUGGACGAAAGCGUGGGUAGCGAACAG